UUCUCCUUUACCCACCACCACGAUCACACUUGUCCUUCUGAUGAAAGUAUUCUUUAUGAGAAAGGACAAUCGUUCCGCAACUUUUCUCUCCAGUUUGCCCUAGCCGCCGUCAACUUUUCUCACCGUUUUUUCUUUUUUCUCUUUUCUUCCUUGAGCGCUUAACCUGGCUGGUAGAUCGAGGUGAAUCAGGAGGCUCAGCUUCUUCCUCUCCGUCGGUGCGAGGCGUGGAGCAAUUGCCUCUUCGAAGUGGAGCGGUGUUAGUUGCAGCAGUGGCGAAUCCGAUUUGCGACUAUUUUGUUGAUCCAUGCCGCUAGGGGACGGUGGAGGAGAUCAGAAGAAAGCAAGACUGAUGACUACUCUGUAGAUCUGGGACGCUGGAGGACGGCCACUGGAGAUCGGAGGAAAGGAGUCAAGGAGAUGUCGACGCUGCUACGAGAUGCGGUUACACAGCGGAAGUCGAGGAGGUGAUUCGGAGGGAUAGCACUGUAAGUCAUAGGGGGUUGUGGCGGUCGGUGAUUCGACCUAAGCGACGGUGGUAGAGGGGUUCACGGCCCUUUGCUCACUGAUCCUGGGCCUUUCCUCCGUAGGCCGGAUAGAGGAUUAAGUUUUGAGAAAGGUUAGUUGGCUCUGCUUGUGAGGUUCCGGACAGAUGGUUGAGUAAGGAUUUUCGCCUUGGCUGAAUCCUCCGGUCUGGCCGUGAGACUCCUCUGGUGUGGGUGGCGUUUUCACUGGGACGCUGGUUUCGACGCCGCCGUGAGGAGCGACUCUAACACAGACUUAACCUAACCGGUAUACCAAACAUUGGCAGAGUCGGUUCAACCAAGUUUAGGUUUAGGUUUUGUAUUUCUGGUUCAUUUCGAUUGUAAAUCCGGUUGAUCCCCGGUUUGGGUCGCAAAAAUAUAUAUAUAUAAUAAAAAAAGUAUUCUUUAUAAUAACGUUAUAUAUCUAUUAAUAAUUAUAAUAUAUAAAAAAUUAAGAAUGAAUGUAUCUUUUUGUUUAAUAUUAUUUUUAAUUAUAUUUUUCGUAUAUAAUUACUAAUUUUAUAGAAUGUUGUUAUUGUAUUGUUGUGUCUUUUUAUUUAUUUUUUUCAAAUUAUACAUUUCCA
rnacentral:lncRNA from 1 species